rnacentral:rRNA from 1 species
UCCGGUGGCUAUUGCGAAGGGGCCACACCCGAUCCCAUCCCGAACUCGGAAGUUAAGCCCUUCAGCGCUGAUGGUACUGCCUGGUUACCUGGGUGGGAGAGUAGGUCGUCGCCGGAU